AUGGCCAUAUCACAUUGAAACACCAGUUCUCGUAUGAUUACUGAAGUUAAGCAACGUCAAACUUCGUCAGUACCUAGAUAGGUGAUCACUUGGCAAUAUCAGGUGCUGUAAG